rnacentral:rRNA from 1 species
CAGCAGCCGCGGUAAAACCAGCAGCCCAAGUGGUGGUCGCGAUUAUUGGGCCUAAAGCGCUCGUAGCCGGGCCGGUAAGUCCCUUGUGAAAUCGGACGGCCUAACCGUUCGGCGUGCAAGGGAUACUGUCGGUCUUGAGGCCGGGAGACGUCCGAGGUACUCCGGGGGUAGCGGUGAAAUGUUCUGAUCCUCGGGGGACCACCGGUGGCGAAGGCGUUCGACGAGAACGGGCCUGACGGUGAGGGGCGAAGGCUAGGGGAGCAAACGGGAUUAGAUACCCCCGUAGUCCCUGUCUCUUAUA